AAAGAAGCCUGCACUCAGGUCCUUCUUUACGUUGUCACGGCCCAAUGGUCCGCUUGGUGCUAGCCUGGUUCUUGCCUUGCAUAGCACUUUCUCCAACUGCAAGCUCUGCUUGCCCAUGCCGUAGGCUUCACUGCCCACUCAUCCUGCAUGGCUCUCUUCUGUAGGGACUCUCCUGCCACUCCUCGCAAACCAUUGGAUGGCUAGGUCUAGGGACUCUCCUGCCACUCUUCG
rnacentral:lncRNA from 1 species